GGGCGUUUGGUCUAGUGGUAUGAU
rnacentral:ncRNA from 2 species